GAUCCUGGCUCAGGGUGAACGCUAGCGGCAGGCUUAACACAUGCAAGUCGAGGGGCAGCGGGGAGUAGCAAUACUCCGCCGGCGACCGGCGCACGGGUGCGUAACGCGUAUGCAACCUACCUUUAACAGGGGCAUAACACUGAGAAAUCGGUACUAAUUCCCCAUAACAUUCGAGAAGGCAUCUUCUUGGGUUAAAAACUCCGUGGUUAAAGAUGGGCAUGCGUUGUAUUAGCUAGUUGGUGAGGUAACGGCU
rnacentral:rRNA from 1 species